AUUGAACGCUGGCGGCAGGCUUAACACAUGCAAGUCGAGCGGGGACUUCGGUCCUAGCGGCAAACGGGUGAGGAAUGCUUGGGAAUCUGCCCAGUAGCGGGGGAUAACGUUUCGAAAGGAACGCUAAUACCGCAUACGCCCUACGGGGGAAAGGGGGGGAUCUUCGGACCUCUCACUAUUGGAUGAGCCCAAGUCGGAUUAGCUAGUUGGUGGGGUAAAGGCCUACCAAGGCGACGAUCCGUAGCUGGUCUGAGAGGAUGAUCAGCCACACUGGAACUGAGACACGGUCCAGACUCCUACGGGAGGCAGCAGUGGGGAAUAUUGGACAAUGGGCGAAGGCCUGAUCCAGCCAUGCCGCGUGUGUGAAGAAGGCCUUCGGGUUGUAAAGCACUUUAAGCGAGGAGGAAUGGCUGAGGGUUAAUAACCUUCAGCAGUGACGUUACUCGCAGAAUAAGCACCGGCUAACUCUGUGCCAGCCGCCGCCGUAAUAC
rnacentral:rRNA from 1 species